rnacentral:rRNA from 1 species
UACGAAGGGGGCAAGCGUUGUUCGGAAUUACUGGGCGUAAAGGGCGCGUAGGCGGUCGUGUGCGUCGGAGGUGAAAUCCCCGGGCUUAACCCGGGAGCUGCCUCCGAUACGGCAUGGCUUGAGUCCGGGAGAGGGGAGCAGAAUUCCCAGUGUAGCGGUGAAAUGCGUAGAUAUUGGGAGGAAUACCGGUGGCGAAGGCGGCUACCCUGGACCGGUACUGACGCUGAGGCGCGAAAGCGUGGGUAGCAAACAGG